rnacentral:misc_RNA from 1 species
AACGCACAUUGCGCCCUCUGGUAUUCCGGGGGGCAUGCCUGUUCGAGCGUCAUUACAACCCUCAAGCUCUGCUUGGUAUUGGGCUUCACCAUCUGGUGUGCCUUAAAAUCAGUGGCGGUGCCAACUUGGCUUCAAGUGUAGUAAUUCUUCUCACUUCGGAGUCUUUUGGUCACUUGCCAAUAACCCCUAAUUUUUAAAGGUUGACCUCGGAUCAGGUAGGGAUACCCGCUGAACUUAA